rnacentral:antisense_RNA from 1 species
AGACAGAUUUUAGGUAAGAGAAAUAAAAGUUGGAUGCUCACGCUCCAUGGAGCAUCCUCGCGUUUCCCGGGGAAAAGCGGAUCCCGGAGAAGCAGCCUAAUCUCUCAGCCCUUGUGGAGAAGGGAAUAUCAGAAGCAGGACGAAAGCCAGGUCAAGUCUCUUUCCUUAGGCUCCCCAAAGGGACAAGUACUCACCUCCCAGAGACCUGGCCCAGCGGGUCCUCACGGCAGCACCACCCCCUCCCGGUGCCCACGACCAUUUGUCUCCCACCCGGCGUUCUCCAGGAUUUCCAAAGACGCCCGUUUAGAUACACAGAGCUGGAAGACAGCUGUUCCUGGAUCACACCAGAAUGGAGAAGCAAGCUCCUCCCACUAGCAGAAAGCCUUUGCUUUCUGUGCCUGGAUUCGGAAGAUUAUUUAAGCACUGGAAGAGGAGGGGGGAAACAACAACUCGUUUUUGCUGUAUGUUUUUUUUUUUAAUUGUUUUGAAAGUUAUGCUUUGUCUGAUUCUUGCACUAAUUUGGGUUCUGAAAUUUGAGUAAAAUAAAAUUUAAACAUACAAAACAACUUUAAAACCGCAAGGAACAGGAAGCAAAUGAUUAUACAUAAAAGACAUAUAGAAGAUAAUGCAUAUGUGUUCAAUGGAAAAUAGAAAAGCAUGAAAGUAAGAUCACAAAUAUUUAUUAUUUAAACUCUUCCUUGAACUCUUGGUCUGCCCUUUGGAAAAGCAGACUUUCCAUAAUGCAGUAGCUCAUAUUAAUAUUUUUUGUUUGCUUAGGACCAGAGCAAGAAGGUUGGACUUGGGAGCUAGUUUGCUGUCUGGCUUUGAGACCUUGAACAAGUUUUGUUCUCCUUCUGUUUCCAGUUCUCUUUUUUGUAAAUGAGGAGACUAACUCAUGUGAUGGCUCUAUUUUCAACUUUUUGUUAUGGGAAAUAGUCAAACAUAUGCAAUAGUAGACAGAAUAAAGGACUCUCAUGUGAAGAUCAUCCAACUUUUACAUUUUUUCAAUGCAUGGCUGAUCACGUCUCAUCCAUAAGUCCACUCACUUUAUCACUACCAAUCCUCCCUCUUUUUUUUCACCAAAUUCAAGCUUUAUAUAUAUAUCUUUUCAGCUGUAAACAUUCAGUAUGCAUCCACAAAAUAUAAGAAGUGUUUAAAAAUAACCACAAUGUCAUUAGAUGAUUCUUUAAAAUUGCAGUGUAAUUUACACCUAGGGAAAUGCUCAGAUGUUGUGUCCCUUUAAAUCAGUUUUGAAAAAGCCAUGCAUUAGUGUAACCCACACUAUUUUGAAGACACAAGACAUUUUCAUCAUUCCAGACAGUUACCUUGUACCUUCAUGUGCAUAUUCUAGAAUGUCACAAAGAUCUAAUCACUUAGUAUAAACUUUGUUUUAUAUCUGUCUGACUUCUUUUACUCAGCAUAAUAUUUGUGAGGUUCAUUCAUGUCAUUGCAUGAAUGGGUGUUUUGUUUUUUAUUGCUUUUUGUUGUUUCUUUUUACUAUUGUUAAUAGUAUAAGUUUUCCAUUGUGCCUUAUUACAACUAGUACCUCAAUAGAGUAUUACAACAAUUAUUUAAUAUAUUAUUUCAUAUGACAUAUUUAUAGUAUAACAGUGACCUCCUUGAGACCUGGUGCUUUAAGUCAAAGAGGUAAAUAAAAUGAGAUAUUUUAGGUCUCAUUACAACAGAUCAAUGUGAGAGAAUUAUUUCUGGACGGUUGCACUUCUUAUAAACAUUUGACAUGAUUCCAAAUUUUUAUUUGGUAACUUGUUAGUCCUUUGGCAAAGGACUAAUGUACUAUGUUAUUUAGUCAUAACAAGCAGAUAAAUUACAUUUUAUGUAACUUUUAUAGGCAGAGAAACUGAGCUCCAAGAGUUUUGGUGAUACGCUGAGAUCACCUAGCUUUUUUAAGUGGCAGAGCUGAGACAAUUUAACAGAAACUGUUACAGAAGGCACAAUUGUCUCCUGACUUAGCAGUUUCUGUCUGAAGCCUCACAGAUUGGGUGUGGUAAAGAGUGAGAAGGAAAAAGGUAGAACCCAGCUGUGUUAGAAAUAGCCUUCAAAUUUGGAUGUGACAAUGGAAAUCAAGAAGAACUUAUGUUAUUAUAAAACAGUUCAUUCAUAUUUAAAGUUUUGCCUUUUCUAUAUUGGUAUUCCUCAAUAGGGGGAGAUGAUUUCUCACUACCUACAAAAAAAGAAAACUGUAGACUAAUUUCAUUGUCAUUUCGAAUUACAACUAUAUGUUUAACUCUUAUCACUCCUCAAAAUGCCUUGAACACAGUAAACAUCCAAUGAACUUUUAAUUACACAUAAUAUUGAUAGUGAUAUUGCAUAUGUUCUAAAUCUGUAUUCUUAAGGAGGCAAACCUGCUCAAGUACAAAGAAGGGAACUAGAAGUUAAAAUAAAGUUUUUUUAAUUUUUCUUUUCAUUAUUGAUGGACAGCAUGGUCUUCAGUAAAUCUUUAGCCUCUCUGAAUAUAACGUUAAACUAAUUGAAUGGCUUGUACCUCAUAAGAAAUAUGAAGUAAUAAUGUAUUUGGAAACAUUACUAACGUGCAUAUUCUAUUCAUAACUACAAUAAUCAUGUUUGGUUUUCUCUUUGCUAAGUGAAAUAUGAAUAUUUUACCACACC